UACGGAGGGGACUAGCGUUGUUCGGAAUUACUGGGCGUAAAGCGCACGUAGGCGGAUUUGUAAGUCAGGGGUGAAAUCCCGAGGCUCAACCUCGGAACUGCCUUUGAUACUGCAAAUCUCGAGUCCGGAAGAGGUGAGUGGAAUUCCUAGUGUAGAGGUGAAAUUCGUAGAUAUUAGGAAGAACACCAGAGGCGAAGGCGGUUUCCUGGGCCAACACUGACGCUGAGG
rnacentral:rRNA from 1 species